rnacentral:rRNA from 1 species
GACGAACGCUGGCGGCGUGCCUAAUACAUGCAAGUUGAGCGCUGAAGGUUGGUACUUGUACCAACUGGAUGAGCAGCGAACGGGUGAGUAACGCGUGGGGAAUCUGCCUUUGAGCGGGGGACAACAUUUGGAAACGAAUGCUAAUACCGCAUAAAAACUUUAAACACAAGUUUUAAGUUUGAAAGAUGCAAUUGCAUCACUCAAAGAUGAUCCCGCGUUGUAUUAGCUAGUUGGUGAGGUAAAGGCUCACCAAGGCGAUGAUACAUAGCCGACCUGAGAGGGUGGUCGGCCACCUUGGGACUGGGACACGGCCCAAACUCCUACGGGAGGCCGCAGUAGGGGAUCUUCGGCCAUGGACGAAAGUCUGACCGAGCAACGCCGCGUGAGUGAAGAAGGUUUUCGGAUCGUAAAACUCUGUUGGUAGAGAAGAACGUUGGUGAGAGUGGAAAGCUCAUCAAGUGACGGUAACUACCCAGAAAGGGACGGCUAACUACGUG